rnacentral:lncRNA from 1 species
CGGUAAUUACUUUUGGGUGGUCUGCUGUGAGAUGAGUGUUUAGCACGGAGGUGGAACCGAGGGCAGCUCUGCCACUGAACUGCAACCCCAUCCUUUUCUUAAGAUUUUAUUUUGAGACAGGGUCUUGCAGAGUCGCUAAAUUGUCCAGACUGUGCUCAAACUUGCCAUCCUCCUGCCUCAGCCUCCCAGAGUGCUGGGAUUAAGCCACCGGGCCAGGCUUCUAUUUUGUUUACAGAGAGGGUAUGGCUAAACUGCCCAGGCAGGAAUGGAACUUCCAACCCUCAGCCUCAGCCUCCGCAGUGCUGAACGUUCAGGGUUCAGGUGUGCACCACUCCACAGGGCUUCCUGCCUUCACACACAAGCCAGUUCCUUUCCUGUUUUUGCUCAGAGAGGAAAGGGUCUGGCUGAAAGCUUUAUCCUCUGCCCUCCACCCCAUGACAAAAAGCGACAGCGCCCAGAGCGACAGCGGAGCGGAAAGCUCCAGGCCACGCCCCCGGAACGCUCCGGGCCAGCCUUUGAACUCCGAGGC